rnacentral:misc_RNA from 1 species
GAUGAAGAACGUAGCGAAAUGCGAUAAGUAAUGUGAAUUGCAGAAUUCAGUGAAUCAUCGAAUCUUUGAACGCACAUUGCGCCCGCCAGUAUUCUGGCGGGCAUGCCUGUUCGAGCGUCAUUUCAACCAUCAAGCCCCAGGCUUGUGUUGGGGACCUGCGGCUGCCGCAGGCCCUGAAAACCAGUGGCGGGCUCGCUGUCACACCGGGCGUAGUAGAUUUUAUCUCGCUCAGGGCGUGCUGCGGGUCCCGGCCGUUAAAAGCCUUUUUUUACCCAAGGUUGACCUCGGAUCAGGUAGGAAGACCCGCUGAAUUUAAGCAUAUCAAUAAGCGGAGGA